ACUCCUACGGGAGGCAGCAGUGGGGAAUAUUGCACAAUGGGGAAACCCUGAUGCAGCCAUGCCGCGUGUGUGAAGAAGGCCUUCGGUUGUAAAGCACUUUCAGUAGGGAGGAAGGUAGUGUAGUUAACACCUGCAUUAUUUGACGUUACCUACAGAAGAAGCACCGGCUAACUCCGUGCCAGCAGCCGCGGUAAUACGGAGGGGUGCGAGCGUUAAUCGGAAUUACUGGGCGUAAAGCGCAUGCAGGCGGCCUGUUAAGUCAGAUGUGAAAGCCCGGGGGCUUAACUCGGAAUUGCAUUUGUAAACUAGGCAGGCUAGAGUCUUGUAGAGGGGGUAGGAAUUUCAGGUGUAGCGGUGGAAAUAGCGUAGAGAUCUGAAGGAAUACCAGUGGCGAAGGCGGCCCCGUCGGACAAAGACUGACGCUCAGAUGCGAAAGCGUGGGAGGCAAACAGGUUUAGAUACCCGUGGAGCACAGAG
rnacentral:rRNA from 1 species